rnacentral:piRNA from 1 species
UGAACCUACAAGUCCUCUUCCUCCUCGUA